CUAGCAAUUUAUUUGGCAUAACCCAGCUGCUGUCAUGCUGGAAAAUUUGCACUCAUUUCACUCCAUUAUACAAAAUGUGAAGGAAACUAAUUAAAAGGUCAUCCCCUCUUUCUAAAUGGCCACUCUGUUUAAAGAGGUGAAAAAUUUCCUCGGAAUUUUGGCCCGGCAUAUUUUUGACCACAUCCAAGAUAACUUUCAGAUUGAGUCGGUAGUUUACUUUGCAUGUAGAGUGGCCACCUGGCCGUGUCGGCUAUUUCGUCGAAUUGUGACCAAGUGUAAACGGUGUUUCGACUGUUUUUGUGAUUUUCUGGUGGACAUUUUCUACAAAUGUGUACAUCUCGCCAUAGCCAUUCUACUACUGGCAUUAUUCCCGAUUCUAUUCCUCUUUAUCAUGCCCUUGUACGCGAGACGGUUUGUUUGCAGAUUUCAAGCCUCGUAAACCAAAUUAUAAACCAAAUUGCUCAAAUACAAUGACAGAAGGAAUCUGCUCUAAUCAGGCGAGCUUUGAUUAUCAGUCAUCAAUUGAUGGAAGGAUACUUAGAAGGAUGACCGGGACCUAAAAAUUCCUGAAAUUAUAGUACAGAUAUUACACUGCAGUAUUGUUGGACGAUUUAUUAUUUUUUAUAAAAUAUUGCCUUCACGAUAUUAUUAUGUAAUACAGACGAGGAGACAAAUAAUUCUCUCCAGAAAAAUUAGAAUAGACGAAUGACAUGAUGAUAAUAUACGAUAAUUAAUAAUAAAGCCGGCACUUUAGUCAUAUUGAUUAAAAU